UGCUGGAUUCUGCAGCCUACGAUGUUCCGCC
rnacentral:piRNA from 1 species